CACGUGAGCAACCUGCCCGUGACUCUGGGAUAAGCGCUGGAAACGGCGUCUAAUACUGGAUAUGUGCCAUGGCCGCAUGGUCUGUGGUUGGAAAGAUUUUUCGGUUGGGGAUGGGCUCGCGGCCUAUCAGCUUGUUGGUGAGGUAAUGGCUCACCAAGGCGUCGACGGGUAGCCGGCCUGAGAGGGUGACCGGCCACACUGGGACUGAGACACGGCCCAGACUCCUACGGGAGGCAGCAGUGGGGAAUAUUGCACAAUGGGCGGAAGCCUGAUGCAGCAACGCCGCGUGAGGGAUGACGGCCUUCGGGUUGUAAACCUCUUUUAGCAGGGAAGAAGCGAGAGUGACGGUACCUGCAGAAAAAGCACCGGCUAACUACGUGCCAGCAGCCGCGGUAAUACGUAGGGUGCAAGCGUUAUCCGGAAUUAUUGGGCGUAAAGAGCUCGUAGGCGGUCUGUCGCGUCUGCUGUGAAAUCCCGAGGCUCAACCUCGGGCUUGCAGUGGGUACGGGCAGACUAGAGUGCGGUAGGGGAGAUUGGAAUUCCUGGUGUAGCGGUGGAAUGCGCAGAUAUCAGGAGGAACACCGAUGGCGAAGGCAGAUCUCUGGGCCGUAACUGACGCUGAGGAGCGAAAGGGUGGGGAGCAAACAGGCUUAGAUACCCUGGUAGUCCACCCCGUAAACGUUGGGAACUAGUUGUGGGGUCCUUUCCACGGAUUCCGUGACGCAGCUAACGCAUUAAGUUCCCCGCCUGGGGAGUACGGCCGCAAGGCUAAAACUCAAAGGAAUUGACGGGGACCCGCACAAGCGGCGGAGCAUGCGGAUUAAUUCGAUGCAACGCGAAGAACCUUACCAAGGCUUGACAUACGCGAGAACGCUCUCUAGAAAUAGGGAACUCUUUGGACACUCGUGAACAGGUGGUGCAUGGU
rnacentral:rRNA from 1 species